GACGAACGCUGGCGGCGUGCUUAACACAUGCAAGUCGAACGGAAAGGCCCUGCUUUUGUGGGGUGCUCGAGUGGCGAACGGGUGAGUAACACGUGAGUAACCUGCCCUUGACUUUGGGAUAACUUCAGGAAACUGGGGCUAAUACCGGAUAUGAUCUCCUGCUGCAUGGUGGGGGUUGGAAAGUUUCGGCGGUUGGGGAUGGACUCGCGGCUUAUCAGCUUGUUGGUAGGGUAGUGGCUUACCAAGGCUUUGACGGGUAGCCGACCUGAGAGGGUGACCGGCCACACUGGAACUGAGACACGGUACAGACGCCUACGGGAGGCAGCAGUAGGGAAUCGUCCGCAAUGGGCGAAAGCCUGACGGAGCAACGCCGCGUGAGUGAUGAAGGUCUUCGGAUCGUAAAACUCUGUUAUUAGGGAAGAACAAAUGUGUAAGUAACUAUGCACGUCUUGACGGUACCUAAUCAGAAAGCCACGGCUAACUACGUG
rnacentral:rRNA from 1 species